UCAGAAACAUUAACAAGUAGCAGCUGCAGACCCCCUGCGCUAGGGGUGGGGGAGGGGAGGCAGCCCUGCUGAUGUUAUUAGUUUUGCAUGUCUCUUUUUAUCUAUCUUUAAAAAAAAAUACAGAAUGUGAACUCCGUUUGUCUUGCUCACUGUUGCGAUACCAGAGCUGAGCAGAUAAGGAGGCGCUUAAUAAUUGUUGGCGAGAACAAAUAAGUAGAUUCUAAGUACGUCAGAAACGAUUGGUCCAAGAGGAGAGUCAGACUGGCUUCCAAAUGUUGAUCAAGAGCUGAAAGUAGGAUGAGCCAAGGGUAUGCUUAAUAGGCUCUUAGGAUCAGGUGACUUUUCUAGAGCUAGAAUUCUGAGGAGGUGCAAGGUAAUAGACUGCAGUCUUCCUGAGAAGAAAGAGUUAAACAGGUUGAAGCCUGCGUGUCUGAGGGGAAUGUGUUAGGCAGGGGUAAGGGCCUUCCGCCGGGCUUAGCGAGCUUGACCAAAGGUGGUGAUGACUAAGGGCUAAGGUUGUGGCCUCCCUCCCUCCCUCCAAAUCGAUCCUUUAAUGUGACUUAUCAGAAAGAGAAAGAAACUUGUUUACUUUAAACCCCUGGAUCCCAUAAAGGGAGUGGGGAAAGGCUUAAAACCCCAGACGCUCAGGGCUGGCGCCCACAGCUGCCCCCACACAGCCCGCAGAAGGCACAUCCCACUGGCAGAGAAGGGGCCCAGGGCGGAGAGACGCCCGCGCGGACUGGAAGGAUUGUUCCCUGGACAGCACUGGAAUUAGCUGGCACCUGCAUAGAAAUGACACUGGUUCUUAGGAAUCCCCAGACUUCAGCAGUUCUCUUUAAGAAGAGUCUACUGAGGGACUUCCCCAGCGGCCCAGCAGCUGAGACUCCGAGCUCCCAGUGCACGGGACUAGGGUUCGAUCCCUGGUCAGGGAACUAGAUCCCACAUGCUGCCUCUGAGACCCGGUGCAGCCAACAAUAUUGAAAAAAAAAGUCUCCUGAGACCCCAGCUUGGUUGAGAAUUUGCCCGAUGAUUCUCGUUCUUCACCUCUGGUGAUAGCAGGCAUGAUAGAUACAUGCAUAAGCUUUCCAGAUUCCCCUGAUUUCAGGCAGGAGAGGGCAGGAGGAGAAGGGGGGUGACAGAGGACCAGAUGGCUGGAUGGCAUCACCGGCCCAGUGAACUUGAGUUUCAGCAAACUCUGGGAGAUGGUGAAGGACAGGGAAGCCUGGCGUGCUGCAGUCCAUGGGGUCGCAAAGAGUCGAACACGACUGAACAACUGAACAAAAGGUAGAUUUCAGUGGAAAAAAAAAUACUUCCUUGCCCUCUAUUGAAAAGAACAUUCUAUUUUUAAAUUUCCAUGUGCUUUCAGAAUGACAAGACUCAGGCAUAUGUUAUGGACUUCUUUUGUCUUCUAGACUAUAAUAGCCUACAAGACUCAAAUUGAUGUGUUUAACACAUCUAUUUGAAAUGACAGGAAAUGCGAAUGUGGAAUUUUAAAAAGCGCAUCUCCGUGUUUCACUUGCUUCUUAAGAAUCUUUUUUAGGUGCUGAAGGGGUAAGUUUGCAGCGAACUGACACUGGAUGGUCCCCAAAGCACUUUCUCCUCAGCCCUCUGGAGUCGGCCCUUCAAGGUUCUCAGACCCUGGGGCACGACACGUGGGAGCAGGGAGGCUGCCCACACCCCGAUCUGACCCGAGGAAGCACAGGGAGCUUUGUGAUAUU
ensembl:lncRNA